rnacentral:rRNA from 1 species
UACAGAGGGUGCGAGCGUUGUCCGGAAUCACUGGGCGUAAAGCGCACGUAGGCGGCUUUCUAAGUCAGGGGUGAAAUCCUGGAGCUCAACUCCAGAACUGCCUUUGAUACUGGAGAGCUCGAGUCCGGAAGGAGGUGAGUGGAACUCCGAGUGUAGAGGUGAAAUUCGUAGAUAUUCGGAAGAACACCAGUGGCGAAGGCGGCUCACUGGUCCGGUACUGACGCUGAUGUGCGAAAGCGUGGGGAGCAAACAGG